UGAACCUCAGAUCAGGUAGGGAUACCCGCUGAACUUAAGCAUAUCAAUAAGCGGAGGA
rnacentral:rRNA from 1 species